GUAUCAUGGCUCAGAUUGAACGCUGGCAGCAGGCCUAACACAUGCAAGUCGAACGGUAACAGGAAGCAGCUUGAUGCUUCGCUGACGAGUGGCGGACGGGUGAGUAAUGUCUGGGAAACUGCCUGAUGGAGGGGGAUAACUACUGGAAACGGUAGCUAAUACCGCAUAACGUCGCAAGACCAAAGAGGGGGACCUUCGGGCCUCUUGCCAUCGGAUGUGCCCGAGAUGGGAUUAGCG
rnacentral:rRNA from 1 species